rnacentral:rRNA from 1 species
GAUGAACGCUGGCGGCGUGCCUAAUACAUGCAAGUCGAGCGAAUGGAUUAAGAGCUUGCUCUUAUGAAGUUAGCGGCGGACGGGUGAGUAACACGUGGGUAACCUGCCCAUAAGACUGGGAUAACUCCGGGAAACCGGGGCUAAUACCGGAUAACAUUUUGAACCGCAUGGUUCGAAAUUGAAAGGCGGCUUCGGCUGUCACUUAUGGAUGGACCCGCGUCGCAUUAGCUAGUUGGUGAGGUAACGGCUCACCAAGGCAACGAUGCGUAGCCGGCCUGGGAGGGUGAGCGGCCACACUGGGACUGAGACACGGCCCAGACUCCUACGGGAGGCAGCAGUAGGGAAUCUUCCGCAAUGGACGAAAGUCUGACGGAGCAACGCCGCGUGAGUGAUGAAGGCUUUCGGGUCGUAAAACUCUGUUGUUAGGGAAGAACAAGUGCUAGUUGAAUAAGCUGGCACCUUGACGGUACCUAACCAGAAAGCCACGGCUAACUACGUGCCAGCCGCCGCCGUAA